rnacentral:rRNA from 1 species
UGGGGAAUAUUGCACAAUGGGCGCAAGCCUGAUGCAGCCAUGCCGCGUGUGUGAAGAAGGCCUUCGGGUUGUAAAGCACUUUUGUCCGGAAAGAAAUCCUUGGCUCUAAUACAGUCGGGGGAUGACGGUACCGGAAGAAUAAGCACCGGCUAACUACGUGCCAGCAGCCGCGGUAAUACGUAGGGUGCAAGCGUUAAUCGGAAUUACUGGGCGUAAAGCGUGCGCAGGCGGUUUGCUAAGACCGAUGUGAAAUCCCCGGGCUCAACCUGGGAACUGCAUUGGUGACUGGCAGGCUAGAGUAUGGCAGAGGGGGGUAGAAUUCCACGUGUAGCAGUGAAAUGCGUAGAGAUGUGGAGGAAUACCGAUGGCGAAGGCAGCCCCCUGGGCCAAUACUGACGCUCAUGCACGAAAGCGUGGGGAGCAAACAGGAUUAGAUACCCUGGUAGUCCACGCCCUAAACGAUGUCAACUAGUUGUUGGGGAUUCAUUUCCUUAGUAACGUAGCUAACGCGUGAAGUUGACCGCCUGGGGAGUACGGUCGCAAGAUUAAAACUUAAAAUGAAUUGACGGGGUCAUAGCUGUUUCCUG